rnacentral:rRNA from 1 species
CGGUAAUACGGAGGGUGCGAGCGUUAAUCGGAAUUACUGGGCGUAAAGCGCAUGCAGGUGGUUUGUUAAGUCAGAUGUGAAAGACCCGGGGCGUCAACCUCGGAAUUGCAUUUGAAACUAGGCAAACUAGAGUACUGUAGAGGGGGGUAGGAAUUUCUAGGUGUAGCGGUGAAAUAGCGUAGAGAUCUGAAGGAAUACCGGUGGCGAAGGCGGCCCCCUCGGACAGAUACUGACACUCAGAUGCGAAAGCGUGGGGAGCAAACAGGAUUAGAUACCCUGGUAG